rnacentral:rRNA from 1 species
GGGGUUAAAAUUAAUAAAAUAAAAUUAAUAAAAAAAAUUUUAAUAUUAAAAUAUUUAAUGGGGGUUAAAGUAUUUUUAAUAGAAAAAAUUUUAAGUUUUAUAGUUUAUUAGUAUUGUAAAAGAAAUUUGAAAUAGUUUUGAAAAUAAAUUUAUAAAAAAGUAAAUUUAAAUUAUUGUAUCUUGUGUAUCAGAGUUUAUUAAAAAUUUUUUAAAUAAUAAAUUUCUCGAAUUUAAAAGAGUUAAUUAAUUAAAAAAUUUAUUGUUUUAUAAAUAUUUUAAAUAAUUAAUUGGAAAUGAAAUGUUAUUCGUUUUUAAAUAUAUCUAGUUUUUUUAGAAAAAAAUUUAAUUUUUAAUUAAAAUAAAAAAUUAAUUAAUUAAUUAAUUAAUUUUUUAUUUUAAUUGAAUAUUUUAAGGGAUAAGCUUUAAAUUAAAUUUAUAUAAUUAAUUUUAAAUGAUUAAUGAAAUUUAUAUAAUUUAUAUUGUUAAUAAAUUUUAAUUUAUUAUAAAUAAUUUCAUUUAAAUUAAAAUUUAAAUUAAGAAAUUUAUAUUUUUAUAAAAAAAUAUUUUUUAACAAUUUAUAUUUAAUUAUAAUGAUAAAAUUAGUAUAUAAAUUUUAAAUAAGUAAUUUUUAUAUUAUGAUAAUUAUUUUUAAGGAAUUCGACAAAAAUAUAUAUUCACCUGUUUAUCAAAAACAUGUCUUUUUGUUUAUAAUUUAAAGUCUAAUCUGCCCACUGAUAAAAAAAAUUAAAGGGCUGCAGUAUUUUGACUGUACAAAGGUAGCAUAAUCAUUAGUCUCUUAAUUGGUGACUUGUAUGAAAGAUUGGAUGAAAUAUAAAUUGUCUCUGAAGUAUAUUAUUGAAAUUAAUUUUUUAAUUAAAAAGUUAAAAUAAAUUAAAAAGACGAGAAGACCCUAUAGAGUUUUAUAUUUUUAUAAAUUUAAAUUAUAAAUAAAUUUGUAAUUAAUUUAAAUUUAUAAAAAUAUUUUGUUGGGGUGAUAAAAAAAUUUAAUUAACUUUUUUUGAAAUUAAACAAUAAUAAAUGAUUUUUUGAUCCAAUAAUAUUGAUUAUAAGAAAAAAUUACCUUAGGGAUAACAGCGUAAUUUUUUUUUUUAGUUCAAAUAAGAAAAAAAGUUUGCGACCUCGAUGUUGGAUUAAGAUAAAAUUUAAAUGCAAAAGUUUAAAAUUUUUGAUCUGUUCGAUCAUUAAAAUCUUACAUGAUCUGAGUUCAAACCGGUGUAAGCCAGGUUGGUUUCUAUCUUUUAAUAUAAAUGUAAUAUUUUAGUACGAAAGGAUCAAGUAUUGUAAUUAAAUUAAAUUUAUUGAAUAUUAAUAAGUUAUAAUUAGAAUUAUA